rnacentral:rRNA from 1 species
AAGUCGAACGGUAACGACGGGAGCUUGCUCCCGGGCGACGAGUGGCGGACGGGUGAGUAACGCGUAGGAAUUUACCCAACUGUGGGGGACAACCUGGGGAAACUCAGGCUAAUACCGCAUACGCCCUACGGGGGAAAGCGGGGGAUCUUCGGACCUCGCGCAGUUGGAUGAGCCUGCGUCGGAUUAGCUUGUUGGUAGGGUAACGGCCUACCAAGGCGACGAUCCGUAGCUGGUCUGAGAGGAUGAUCAGCCACACUGGGACUGAGACACGGCCCAGACUCCUACGGGAGGCAGCAGUGGGGAAUAUUGGACAAUGGGGGCAACCCUGAUCCAGCCAUGCCGCGUGUGUGAAGAAGGCCUUCGGGUUGUAAAGCACUUUUAGUGGGGAAGAAAAGCCUAAGGAUAAUACCCUUGGGUCUUGACGGUACCUACAGAAAAAGCACCGGCUAAUUCCGUGCCAGCAGCCGCGGUAAUACGGAAGGUGCGAGCGUUAAUCGGAAUCACUGGGCGUAAAGCGCGCGUAGGCGGUUAGAUCAGUCAGAUGUGAAAGCCCCGGGCUCAACCUGGGAACUGCAUUUGAUACUGUCUAGCUAGAGUGUGAUAGAGGGAAGUGGAAUUCCACAUGUAGCGGUGAAAUGCGUAGAUAUGUGGAGGA